rnacentral:rRNA from 1 species
AACGUAGGAGACAAACGUUAUCCGGAGUUACUGGGCGUAAAGGGCGUGUAGGCGGUCUGUUAAGUCUGGCGUGAAAGCUCUCGGCUAAACCGGGAGAGGUCGUUGGAUACUGGCAGUCUAGAGGACGGUAGAGGCGUGUGGAAUUCCGGGUGUAGUGGUGAAAUGCGUAGAGAUCCGGAGGAACACCAGUGGCGAAGGCGACACGCUGGGCCGUACCUGACGCUAAAGCGCGACAGCAUGGGGAGCAAACGGG